rnacentral:rRNA from 1 species
UACGGAGGGUGCGAGCGUUGUCCGGAAUCACUGGGCGUAAAGGGCGCGUAGGUGGCGCGGGCAGUCAACGGUGAAAGUCCGGGGCUCAACCUCGGAUCGGCCGUGGCGACUCGUGGGCUGGAGCACUGUAGAGGCGGGUGGAAUUCCGGGUGUAGCGGUGGAAUGCGUAGAGAUCCGGAAGAACACCAGUGGCGAAGGCGGCCCGCUGGGCAGUGGCUGACGCUGAGGCGCGACAGCGUGGGGAGCAAACAGG